CCUACGGGAGGCAGCAGUGGGGAAUAUUGGACAAUGGGCGAAAGCCUGAUCCAGCAAUGCCGCGUGAGUGAUGAAGGCCUUAGGGUUGUAAAGCUCUUUUACCAGGGAUGAUAAUGACAGUACCUGGAGAAUAAGCUCCGGCUAACUCCGUGCCAGCAGCCGCGGUAAUACGGAGGGAGCUAGCGUUGUUCGGAAUUACUGGGCGUAAAGCGUACGUAGGCGGUUAUUCAAGUCAGAGGUGAAAGCCUGGAGCUCAACUCCAGAACUGCCUUUGAAACUAGGUAGCUAGAAUCACGGAGAGGUUAGUGGAAUUCCGAGUGUAGAGGUGAAAUUCGUAGAUAUUCGGAAGAACACCAGUGGCGAAGGCGACUAACUGGACGUGUAUUGACGCUGAGGUACGAAAGCGUGGGGAGCAAACAGGAUUAGAUACCCUGGUAGUCCACGCCGUAAACGAUGAUAACUAGCUGUUCGGUCUCUACGAGACUGAGUGGCGCNGCUACGCAUAAGUUAUCCGUCCGUCGGGUAGGUACGGUCGCGAAGAAGUUAAACGUAACAAAUAAGUAAGUUAGUUACGGACGUGUUAGAGUGCCGACGGACGACGACGAGGGAGGUUAGG
rnacentral:rRNA from 1 species